rnacentral:misc_RNA from 1 species
GAUGAAGAACUCAGCGAAAUGCGAUACGUAGUGUGAAUUGCAGAAUUCAGUGAAUCAUCGAAUCUUUGAACGCACAUUGCACCUCUCGGUAUUCCGGGAGGUAUGCCUGUUCGAGCGUCAUUUGUACCCUCAAGCUCUGCUUGGUGUUGGGUGUUUGUUCCGCCUCUGUGUGUGAACUCGCCUCAAAACAAUUGGCAGCCGGCGUACUUGUUUCGGAGCGCAGCACAUUUUGCGAUCCAGAUCAACGUACAGCGGCAUCCAAGAAGCCUUAUUUAACGCUCUUGACCUCGGAUCAGGUAGGGAUACCCGCUGAACUUAAGCAUAUCAAUAACGGAGGA